rnacentral:lncRNA from 13 species
CAAAGACCUCAGUUCAACCCCUGUGGAAGGGCAGACUACUAUUGCUGUUUACAAAUAAGUCAUUUUACUUACAGAAAUUAGGUUUUUCCCCCGUCAUUAUUAUUUCUUUCCUCUGAUGCAUCCAUUCCUUUCCUCUCUGUGAAGGAUAUCUCCAGGAAAUAGAAGGGGACAGUGCAAAGCAGAUUCCUGUGGCUCCACAUUGGCUGCAUUUGCACGUCUUCACUUUAAAGAAUCACCAGAAUGACUUAUCUGAUCUCACGAUUAGCAAGCCAGCCUUGAGUUGCUGUAUGAAGAUAGUGGAGCUUCUGAAUCUUCUGCCAUGACAGAACCUAGAGUGGGAAAGCUAAGAGCUGGCAAUAUCAUAAUUGUCCAUGGUGUACAGAAGCUGUCCUGGAAUAAUAGCAAAGAUGACCUUAUUGGCAUUUUUUUAUUAUCUCCUCUGAGGAAGGGAAGAGUCCCAGCACUGCAAGGAAACUAAUGAGUUGAGAAUUCUGUAUUUUCAUUGCAUGUUGGAAAUAAACAUGAUGAAUAAUGCCAUCUUCCUUAAUACAACUUGCUUGCACAGGUAAAUGAAUUGGAUAUGGGAAUACCAAGAUGUGCUCUUCAGCAUCAGUAUCG